rnacentral:rRNA from 1 species
UACGGAGGAUCCAAGCGUUAUCCGGAUUUAUUGGGUUUAAAGGGUGCGUAGGCGGCUUAUUAAGUCAGGGGUGAAAGACGGUGGCUCAACCAUCGCAGUGCCUUUGAUACUGAUGAGCUUGAAUAUACUAGAAGUAGGCGGAAUGUGACAAGUAGCGGUGAAAUGCAUAGAUAUGUCACAGAACACCGAUUGCGAAGGCAGCUUACUAUGGUAUUAUUGACGCUGAGGCACGAAAGCGUGGGGAUCAAACAGG